ACUCACGGACAUUGCCCGCGGGCGGCGUGACCGGAGGGAGCGGCGAGCGUUCGGCGAACGAACGAGCAAUGUUCGGUUCGCGAGCGAACAUCGAAGAAGACGAUCCUGACGCACUCUCUUCAACGACUUUGCACAAAACGGUCUCGAUAACAUUGUAAAUUUAUACCGAAUAGACAAUUAAUUGUAUACAGUCCACUCUUUCAUUUAAUUAACUUCCACUACACUCACUAUCGAAGUAACAUAUUGGUCCAUCUACCGGAAAACUGAAUCCCGCUGAAGAAACGACUGCGGUAUCGAACUUUGACCCCGCGACACGUCCGCCGAUCUAUUGCGCCGUGUCACCAUCGCUAUCCGAGGAGUUGAAGAUCAGAGUCACCUGUGGAAUUUCUGGAUAAGGAUACGGGUAUUUUACCGACAUUGAGCUGCUAUCAGACAAUCCAGAGGAGGCCUAUGCCGAGCGCUUCAAAUUCGAAGACACCUUUUAUCCGCUGGUUGCACAGGCGCGAAAGCUCCUGGAGGCCAGUCAGCAACUUCAGAACAAGCUUUCUGCAGGUUCCGUAUCAGGCUCCGAGGUAUCAGCUGUGGUGAGAGUGGUGAGCGACAAAGGUCAAAGGUACAGCGCCAGGGUCCUGCUCGACAACGGUAGUACAGCUCACUUUGUUACUGACGCCGUGUGUACCAAGCUUGGAUUGUCCCGAGUUGGCAACAGUUCCAAGGUUACAGGUGACUGACAACGGCAACAUUACCAGAUUGGAGCGAUUCCAAAGAGUGGAGUUCAUAAGACAACAUUUCUGGAAGAGAUUUAACACAGAAUAUAUAUCUUUGCUACAGCAGAAAACAAAAUGGUCCACAUCCAAAGGGAACAUCACUGUGGGGAGCCUGGUUCUGGUGAAGGAUAAGGCGCUCCCACCUCUCUGUUGGCUGCUGGGUCGCGUCGUGCAGACCUACCCGGGCUCCGAUGGCGUGGUGAGGGUCGCCGAACUGAAGACAAAGAAGGGGACUAUCCGCCGUGGCUUCAACAAUAUAUGCCCUCUACCAAUUUCUUGAAGUUUCCACUUCAACCCGGGGAGCAUGUCUACUCACGGACAUUGCCCGCGGGCGGCGUGACCGGAGGGAGCGGCGAGCGUUCGGCGAACGAACGAGCAAUGUUCGGUUCGCGAGCGAACAUCGAAGAAGACGAUCCUGACGCACUCUCUUCAACGACUUUGCACAAAACGGUCUCGAUAACAUUGUAAAUUUAUACCGAAUAGACAAUUAAUUGUAUACAGUCCACUCUUUCAUUUAAUUAACUUCCACUACACUCACUAUCGAAG